UAGAAUAAAUUAAUGCCUCACUUCGCUCGGUCAAGUGCAUAGCACCUUGAGCAAUGAAAGACCUUCUCGCCUCAGGGGUGCCUAGCGCUUUUGACAAAAUUGCAGCAAGGUCAUUUGUUUCAUUAAAAAGACGUUUUCCAAUGAAAUGAGUUAUGCAAGUCUAAAUAACUUGUCACUCUGUUGAAACACACACACAUAACAGAGUUAAGUCAAUUAAGACACCUAUCCCCCUCAAAUGGAACAUUUCAUAGGAACUAAUACUGGAAUCUGUAGUAUAAAAACUAGCCACUUAAAAGUUUCUUUUGAGAGAGAGAGAGAGA
rnacentral:misc_RNA from 1 species